rnacentral:rRNA from 1 species
AGAGUUUGAUCCUGGCUCAGAACGAACGCUGGCGGCGUGCUUAACACAUGCAAGUCGAACGCGAAAGGGACUUCGGUCCUGAGUAAAGUGGCGCACGGGUGAGUAACGCGUAGAUAACCUGUCUUUAUGUCUGGAAUAAUACGCCGAAAGGGGUACUAAUACCGGAUAUUCUUGCUUUAUAUAAGUUUUGCAAGCGAAGGUGGCCUCUGGCAUAAGCUACUGGCAUGAAGAGGGGUCUGCGUACCAUUAGCUUGUAGGUGGGGUAAUGGCCUACCUAGGCGACGAUGGUUAGCGGGUCUGAGAGGAUGAUCCGCCACACUGGCACUGGAACACGGGCCAGACUCCUACGGGAGGCAGCAGUGAGGAAUAUUGCGCAAUGGGGGCAACCCUGACGCAGCGACGCCGCGGNAGCGAGGAAGUGCCUUCGGGUCGUAAAGCUCUGUCAAAGGGAAAGAAAUGUAUAAUGGUUAAUACCUGUUAUUAUUUGACGGUACCCUUAAAGGAAGCACCGGCUAACUCCGUGCCAGCAGCCGCGGUUAAUACGGAGGGGUGGCAAGCGUUGUUCGGAAUUACUGGGGCGUACAGGCCGGCGUAGGCGGUGUGGAUAAGUCACCAUGUUGAAAGCCCACGGCUUAAACCG